rnacentral:rRNA from 1 species
GGAAGUAAAAGUCGUAAACAAGGUUUCCGUAGGUGAACCUGCGGAAGGAUCAUUACCGAGUGAGGGCCCUCUGGGUCCAACCUCCCACCCGUGUUUAUUUUACCUUGUUGCUUCGGCGGGCCCGCCUUAACUGGCCGCCGGGGGGCUUACGCCCCCGGGCCCGCGCCCGCCGAAGACACCCUCGAACUCUGUCUGAAGAUUGUAGUCUGAGUGAAAAUAUAAAUUAUUUAAAACUUUCAACAGCGGAUCUCUUGGUUCCGGCAUCGAUGAAGAACGCAGCGAAAUGCGAUACGUAAUGUGAAUUGCAAAUUCAGUGAAUCAUCGAGUCUUUGAACGCACAUUGCGCCCCCUGGUAUUCCGGGGGGCAUGCCUGUCCGAGCGUCAUUUCUGCCCUCAAGCACGGCUUGUGUGUUGGGCCCCGUCCUCCGAUCCCGGGGGACGGGCCCGAAAGGCAGCGGCGGCACCGCGUCCGGUCCUCGAGCGUAUGGGGCUUUGUCACCCGCUCUGUAGGCCCGGCCGGCGCUUGCCGAUCAACCCAAAUUUUUAUCCAGGUUGACCUCGGAUCAGGUAGGGAUACCCGCUGAACUUAAGCAUAUCAAUAAGCGGAGGAAAAGAAACCAACAGGGAUUGCCCCAGUAACG